rnacentral:lncRNA from 1 species
GAAAAUCGAGGGAAAUAAAAAAUUACCAAAAUGUCUCUAAAUAUUGGUAUUUCUGCAAUUUAGCCUGGUAAGUUUGUAUGAACUAUAUUCUGUAUAAUUUUGAUUAACGUGAAUAUUAUUUGGUGAUGGAUAUUAUAUAUAUCUGUUCUAUUGUUGGGAUUGAAUUAUUAUUGAAAAUAUAUUAUCGAAUUUAAUACUCAGUUUGGAUUAAACGUG